rnacentral:rRNA from 1 species
GUGAACGCUGGCGGCGUGCCUAACACAUGCAAGUCGAACGAUGAUAGAGAGCUUGCGCUCUUGAUUAGUGGCGCACGGGUGAGUAUACCAUAGAUAAUGUACCUCUUAGUUCGGGAUAGCCACUGGAAACGGUGAUUAAUACCGGAUACUCCUUAGUACUCUAAGGUAAGUCGGGAAAGUUUUUUCGCUAAGUGAUCAGUCUAUGUCCUAUCAGCUAGUUGGUGAGGUAAUGGCUCACCAAGGCUAUGACGGGUAUCUGGUUUGAGAGGAUGCUCAGACACACUGGCACUGCGACACGGUCCAGACUCCUACGGGAGGCAGCAGUGAGGAAUAUUGCACAAUGGAGGAAACUCUGAUGCAGCAACGCCGCGUGGAGGAUGACGCAUUUCGGUGUGUAAGCUCCUUUUAAGAGGGAAGAUAAUGACGGUACCUCUUGAAUAAGCACCGGCUAACUCCGU